rnacentral:rRNA from 1 species
CUCAGGAUGAACGCUGGCGGCGUGCCUAAUACAUGCAAGUCGAGCGAACAGACGAGGAGCUUGCUCCUCUGACGUUAGCGGCGGACGGGUGAGUAACACGUGGAUAACCUACCUAUAAGACUGGGAUAACUUCGGGAAACCGGAGCUAAUACCGGAUAAUAUAUUGAACCGCAUGGUUCAAUAGUGAAAGACGGUUUUGCUGUCACUUAUAGAUGGAUCCGCGCCGCAUUAGCUAGUUGGUAAGGUAACGGCUUACCAAGGCAACGAUGCGUAGCCGACCUGAGAGGGUGAUCGGCCACACUGGAACUGAGACACGGUCCAGACUCCUACGGGAGGCAGCAGUAGGGAAUCUUCCGCAAUGGGCGAAAGCCUGACGGAGCAACGCCGCGUGAGUGAUGAAGGUCUUCGGAUCGUAAAACUCUGUUAUUAGGGAAGAACAAAUGUGUAAAGUAACUAUGCACGUCU